GAAAGAAAGCUAGCCCUGCAGGAAAGCGAGGAAGUGUGUGCACACCUCUGAUCCCUGAGUGGCUCUGCUCCGACCUUCGCCUCCCACUGGGUGGGGCGGGCUUUUAAGAGCAGCUGGGGUGCAGGCCCCGGUCAGUGGAGCCGGGUGGCCUGUCUGCACCUCUCCCGGCUGGAGCGCGCUGCUCUGAGUGAGCUCCAAGCGGCCGGCCUAGCUCUGCGCCCCUCGCCACCGUCCACCCGGAGCAAAGAGGGACCUCCCUGCCCACCUGCCCGGCCAUGGAGGAGGACGCUGCCCACGCCGCCAAGUCCCAGCACCCGGGCUCCGAGCUGCGGCCGGAGAAGCCGGCCAGCCCCAGCCCGGCGCCCUCGUCCACGCCCAGCCCCAGCCUGCAUCUGGGCAGCACGGACGAGGCCCUCCGGGACCACGCGCAGGUGAAUGCGGUCACGGUGCUCACGCUCCUGGACAAGCUGGUGAAGAUGAUGGACGUGGUGCAGGAGAACCAGCACAAGAUGGAGCAGCGGCAGGUCAGCCUGGAGGGCUCCGUGAAGGGCAUCCAGAACGACCUGACCAAGCUCUCCAAGUACCAGGCCUCCACGGGCAACACGGUGAGCAAGCUGCUGGACAAGUCCCGCAAGGUGAGCGCGCACACGCGCGCCGUCCGCGAGCGCCUGGAGCGGCAGUGCGCGCAGGUGAAGCGGCUGGAGAGCAACCACGCCCAGCUCCUGCGGCGCAACCACUUCAAAGUGCUCAUCUUCCAGGAAGAGCAUGAGAUCCCCGCCAGUGUGUUUGCCAAGGAGCCCGUGCCCAGCCCCAACGAAGGGAAGGAGGACCUCGCCGACGAGAACAAGUCCUUGGAGGAGACCCUGCACACGGUGGACCUCUCGUCGGAAGAGGAGUUGGCCCACGACGAGGAGGCCCUGGAAGACAGCGCAGAGGAAAGUAUGGGAGAGAGCAGAGCCGAGAAGAUCAAGAGGUCCAGCCUCCGGAAGGUGGACAGCCUCAAGAAGGCCUUCUCCCGCCAGAACAUCGAGAAGCAGAUGAACAGGCUGGGGACAAAGAUCGUGUCUGUGGAGAGGAGGGAGAAGAUUAAGAAAUCGUUCGCUUCCAACCACCAGAAAACAUCCUCCGGGAAGAGCUCCCCCUUCAAGGUCUCCCCUCUCACUUUCGGGCGCAAGAAAAUCCGAGAGGGGGAAAGCGCUGGGGAGAACGAGACCAAGUCCGAAGACGCGCCCAGCAAUGAGCACGUGCCCAACGACCAUGACCACGAGGGGAGCUCCCUGGCCGAGGGCCUCUCCCAAGCAUCCCUCUCCAGCGUCCUGGCCGAAGGGAAGGGGGCCGAGGGGGAGAGUGGGAGGGCAGCCUCGCGGGGGAGUAACUCUGGCAUGGACAGCAACGUGGACUUGACCGUCGAGGUAGAUGAGGAGUCACUGGUGGCCCGGGAACAGGCACAGAAGGUGCGCCAUGAGGCCGGCUACUCGCUCAACUCCAAGGAGGCAGAGGGGUCGGAAGAGGAGGCCGCCCAGCCCCCGGUGCUGCAGGUGGGCCAGAUGGCCUGAGCAGGAGGCCCACUGGGCCCAGCGGUGCCUGCAGGCAGGUGGGAGCCUGGAACACGCGUCCACGUGCCUCCAGCGCUCCCCACUCACCACUGUGUUGUUGCCCAUGCAGCAGCACACACGUGACCAAGAUUCACUAUGAAGGCAGCCUGUUGGGGGCUCCAUUUCUAAUUUGCUCCUAGGUUCUGUUUCUGUAGGAUUUCUCCAAGAUUGCCCAGAAGACAUGAAGCAGUUGCAAAACAUUGAUCAGGUUAGCUUAGUCAGAGAACCAGGGGCUCCUGAAGACACUAGUCAUGAAAGGCGAUUGAUUUGGGGUCAUUCCAUAAGCUUGCUGCAUAACGUACCAGUAAUACAUGGAAUUUCCACAGAACUCCGUGCAUCUGUUAGUUAUUUUUCAGGUGUGUGAUAUACGAUAUACAUGUGUGUUUAAGCUAAAGGGGUAACUGCUUUUUUAAAAAAAGAAAACACAUUUUUGAGAAGUAGAAGAAAAAAUUCAGUUGACCAUCCACUUAAUGGAAACCAUUAUUUUCUUGAAAAUAAAGUAAAAAUUGUAAUUUUAGCUAAUGAAGUAAGACAUGUAGGAAAAUCAGGAAUCUUAGAAAAAGAAAACUAGAAAAUGAUGUGGGAAAAUAAGAAAAACAGGAACAAAGAUGCCAAAGAAAAUGAAGACACAGAGAGGAAAAAAAAUCUGAGUCUCAUUCUUCCAGUUUAACUUUCUUGACAUCACCUUGCCAGCUCUGGGGAGCAUGUGAAUUGAUUGCAGCUGCUUGAUGAAUUUGAUAUUUCCAUCUGCAUUUUUGCUGUUUGGUACCAGACCUCAUAAUACCUUAAGUAGUCCUGCAAACAUGAAUGUAUCGAGCUGUGCAUUCAGUUGAUCCGCACAGAUAAACCUUGUCUGCUGCACUGUCAUCCAUCUGGUGGAAGACUUCCUUCCACUCCUGGCCCUCAGCAUGCCUGUUUCACCUUUACCAGGUUGCCAUCACUUCUUGCUGCCAAAGAGUUGGAGGGUCCAGAGUUAAUGUGGUGAUUACAUUUCCUUUUCCAAAAAUGCGUAUGUUGUGUAGUGAAAAACUACACUCAGGCAUCUUUUUAGAUUUUACCGACAAACAAUUUACUCUAUGCUCCACAUUCGAAGCAUUGAAAUCCUCAGCAAUAAACAGAGAAUAAGGCCAGAUAAUUGUUGGAAAACACAUACGUCAGGAUUACAGAGAGGAGAGCCGUUGUGGAAGCAGAGCUGUUUCCUCUGUGUUAUUGUUGAAUUAUUUGCAUUCUGGUGAGGCUGCACAGUCCCCAAAUAAGAUAUGUCUUCCCCCUGCCCAGCCACUAACCCACUUCUAACUCAUGUGCCUGGAGCUCACGGGAUUAGUUCCCCCCCAAAGGUUGGUUGUACAUUAAUAAGCACUGAGAUCCAUAUCUUAGAAACAUAAUUCAGGAGCAAGAAACUUCAUUACAUGGAUCACAAAUCUCACAGAAAUAUAGCAAAGAUGUCACUUUUCUACGAGAUUUUACUUUUAAAAUAUAUAGAUAUAUAUUUCAGCAGGAACAUUUUUCUCUUUCCAAUUAGGCAUCCAGCCUGUGUCGGGAUUUCUUUAUACACAGGAAAAUAAAAGACCCACACUAGGGCCAGUUUGGCAUAAAAUAAAGAUUUUUUUUCACAUGUAUUGUGUGAUGAAAGCCCA